AGCGAACGCUGGCGGCGUGCUUAACACAUGCAAGUCGAGUGCGCAGUUUUCUGUAGCAAUACAGGAAACCGGCGCACGGCGCACGGGUGCGUAACACGUGGGUAACCUGCCCUCCAAAGGGGGGAUAACCCCGCGAAAGCGGGGCUAAUACCGCAUGACAUUCCAGAGACACAGGUUUUUGGAAUCAAAGCUCGAAAGGGCGUUGGAGGAGGGGCCCGGCGGCCGAUUAGCUUGUUGGCGAGGUAAUGGCUCACCAAGGCUUUGAUCGGUAGCCGGUCUGAGAGGAUGGCCGGCCACACUGGAACUGAGACACGGUCCAGACUCCUACGGGGAGGCAGCAGUGGGGAAUCUUGCGCAAUGGGCGAAAGCCUGACGCAGCGACGCCGCGUGGGGGAUGAAGCUUCUCGGAGU
rnacentral:rRNA from 1 species